rnacentral:rRNA from 1 species
AGUGAGCGCUGGCGGUAGGCCUAACACAUGCAAGUCGAACGGCAGCACAGUAAGAGCUUGCUCUUACGGGUGGCGAGUGGCGGACGGGUGAGGAAUACAUCGGAAUCUACUUUUUCGUGGGGGAUAACGUAGGGAAACUUACGCUAAUACCGCAUACGACCUACGGGUGAAAGCAGGGGAUCUUCGGACCUUGCGCGAUUGAAUGAGCCGAUGUCGGAUUAGCUAGUUGGCGGGGUAAAGGCCCACCAAGGCGACGAUCCGUAGCUGGUCUGAGAGGAUGAUCAGCCACACUGGAACUGAGACACGGUCCAGACUCCUACGGGAGGCAGCAGUGGGGAAUAUUGGACAAUGGGCGCAAGCCUGAUCCAGCUAUACCGCGUGGGUGAAGAAGGCCUUCGGGUUGUAAAGCCCUUUUGUUGGGAAAGAAAAGCAGCAGGUUAAUACCCCGCUGUUCUGACGGUACCCAAAGAAUAAGCACCGGCUAACUUCGUG